AGCCAUGCGAGUCAUUGUAGUAAUACAAGGCAGACGGCUCAGUAACGCGUAGUCAACCUAACCUAUGGACGGGGAUAACCUCGGGAAACUGGGUAUAAUACCCGAUAGAACAUUAUGCCUGGAAUGGUUUAUGUUCCAAAUGAUUUAUCGCCGUAGGAUGGGACUGCGGCCUAUCAGUUUGUUGGUGAGGUAAUGGCCCACCAAGACUAUUACAGGUACGGGCUCUGAGAGGAGUGGCCCGGAGAUGGGUACUGAGACACGGACCCAGGCCCUAUGGGGCGCAGCAGGCGAGAAAACUUUGCAAUGUGCGAAAGCACGACAAGGUUAAUCCGAGUGGUUUCUGCUAAAGGAACCUUUUGUCGGUCCUAGAAACACCGAUGAAUAAGGGGUGGGCAAGUUCUGGUGUCAGCCGCCGCGGUAAAACCAGCACCUCAAGUGGUCAGGAUGAUUAUUGGGCCUAAAGCAUCCGUAGCCGGCUCUGUAAGUUUUCGGUUAAAUCUGUACGCUCAACGUACAGGCUGCCGGGAAUACUGCAGAGCUAGGGAGUGGGAGAGGUAGACGGUACUCGGUAGGAAGGGGUAAAAUCCUUUGAUCUAUUGAUGACCACCUGUGGCGAAGGCGGUCUACCAGAACACGUCCGACGGUGAGGGAUGAAAGCUGGGGGAGCAAACCGGAUUAGAUACCCGGGUAGUCCCAGCUGUAAACUAUGCAAACUCAGUGAUGCAUUGGCUUGUGGCCAAUGCAGUGCUGCAGGGAAGCCGUUAAGUUUGCCGCCUGGGAAGUACGUACGCAAGUAUGAAACUUAAAGGAAUUGGCGGGG
rnacentral:rRNA from 1 species